rnacentral:sRNA from 1 species
AGGACAUGCCUUUCAGGCAUCCUCUCCCAAACUACCAGGGUCGCUUUGGCGACCCUUUUUUUUGCGCGAC